rnacentral:rRNA from 1 species
UUGCACAAGACUGAAUCUGGAUUCCCAUCUAGUGGCAGACGGGUGAGUAACACGUGGGUGACCUACCUUUCGUUGGGGAUAACAGUUGGAAACGAUUGCUAAUACCGAAUACGUUCCUUAGGUCGCAUGACUUUAGGAAGAAAGGGUGGCCUCUACCUGUAAGCUAUCGCCUGAAGAGGGGUUUGCGUCUGAUUAGUUAGUUGGUGGGGUAACGGCCUACCAAGACGACGAUCAGUAGCCGGACUGAGAGGUUGAACGGCCACAUUGGGACUGAGAUACGGCCCAGACUCC